AUACUUACCUGGCAGGGGAGAUACCAUGAUCAUGAAGGUGGUUUUCCCAGGGUGAGGCUUAUCCAUUGCAUUCCAGAUGUGUUGACCCCUGCGAUUUCCCCAAAUGUGGGAAACUCAACUGCAUAAUUUGUGGUAGUGGGGGACUGCAUUCACGCUCUCCCCUG
rnacentral:snRNA from 1 species